UAGGGAAUCUUCCACAAUGGACGCAAGUCUGAUGGAGCAACGCCGCGUGAGUGAAGAAGGCUUUCGGGUCGUAAAACUCUGUUAUUGAAGAAGAACGUGCGUGACAGUAACUGGUCAUGCAGUGACGGUAUUCAAUCAGAAAGUCACGGCUAACUACGUGCCAGCAGCCGCGGUAAUACGUAGGUGGCAAGCGUUGUCCGGAUUUAUUGGGCGUAAAGCGAGUGCAGGCGGUCUUUUAAGUCUGAUGUGAAAGCCUUCGGCUUAACCGAA
rnacentral:rRNA from 1 species